CUUCCUCAGGCCAUAGGACUCACUCCUCUCUAUUAAAUAGGCCCAGCCCACCAGGCCCAGCUCCAACACCAACACAAUGUGAGAGAGAGAGAGAGAGACAGAGAGACAGAGAGAGAGAGAGAGUGUGUGUGUGUGUGUGUGUGUGUGUGUGUGUGUGUGCGCGCGCGCGCGCGCGCGUGUGUGUGUCUGUGCAGGGCCACAGUUGGCUGUGUCCAUGAGCCCAUUUUGGCUUGCAGUCUUAGUGAAUUCAGUGACACCGGUUAACGACGUACUUGGUUUUUGUGGAGAGGGACAAAAUAGUUUCGUGGACAUUUUUGUAAGGAAUAGGCACAGAGGGCAUCAAAUAUUGAGUUGUCUGUUUUUAAAUUUUCUUGUGCCAAAGCUGAUGCUUUACAGAUGUUAACAGGUAUACACUGGGGGCUGGGAAAGCACUGAAUUGGUUUUCUGAGAUGCUGGAGGAACUUUCUGAGAUGCUGGAGAGGAGGGCUGGUGCUGCAGUGCGGCAGGCGAUAUCCUUGGCCGUCGCAUUGAGUGUGGGCGUGGUCUUUAUGGAGCAUGCGCUGUGCACCUGCUGGUAGUGGGUGAGAUUGCUGAGUAUGGACCGUCUCUCCCCAAGCCCAACCCUAACAGACACCUUGCUACCAUCACUCCCAGUUUGAUGGCGUUGUCCCCUCUUGCCCUCAGGGAACUGAAACAGAAGGUAUUCAUUCCAUUGUCCUCACAAUGAACUGGGAGGGCCACCAGGACCAGGGAGAGUGUCAAGCUAUGAGGUUUCCUUCUAGCUCCUUCUGAAAAUGUUCUUGCCUCUCUGGAUCUGGACUUUGGCAUGGGGGUGGGGUGGCCACGCUUGUGGAGGCAAGUAGCCGAGUCCAAAGCUGGGAGGAGGUGGGUUCUAACCCCGAUCCUGGGCACCUUCUUAGGUCUCGUCCACUUUGAACUCUUUUGAAAGGGCGGGAAGGUGAAAGGUUCACCAGGAUUCGGCAGCUUGUGCUCAGUAUCUGAAUUUGGGGAGAUGAGAAAAGAUGAGCUCUUCCAAGCAAAUCUCAUUUCCAAGCAUAAGACUCAACAGAGAGUUUCUAUGACAACAACAACAAUGCCAACAGUAAUAAUAACGGCUACAUUUUACUAAGGACUUACCAAAGUACCCAGUACCAAAGUGUGCACGUGUGUGCAUUGUCCUAGUUAAGCCUCUGAGUGACCUUUAAAGUUCAGCCUGUAUCCACAUUCGACAGGUGAGCCCACCGAGUGUGCCAGGGGCCAAGUCACCUGCCCAAGUUUUGAACUCUGGUGGUGUCUCUUGGAGACAAUGUACUUUUAACAGUAAUGCUUUACUGCUUUCCAAAUUCUGGGAACCCCGCUGCUUUCUCCCUUUCUUGAAGAUUCCCAGAUGUCCCUCCUUUAGUGAGACCUCUGUGCUUGCUUACAAAGCAGUCCUGUGACAUUUCUGAGUACAGCACCCCCCAGUCCCACAUCAAAAGAGGGACAGAAAAGGCUCUCAGGGCCUCGGUACACACCCGGACUGCAGUCAGCCCUGGGUCUCAGCCUUUGGUGAUCCUGAAAGCGGAAGAAGGCUCCAAGGAUGAACCCGAAAGGAGUAUUACAGUUUGGUUUGGGUGGUCCACUUACGCUGAGGUCACAGAAGGUGCAUGAGUAUCAAUAAACUCUUGCACUAAAUAGACAAUGGUAACUUGUCCGUUUAUCUGUAUCCCAGUACCCCGGGGGGUGGGGCGGGGCGGGAGGAGGAGGAUAACCUACUGAUGGGGAAGCACCGCCCCUAAACAGGAUGUUGGCUCUGGUGUCCGAUCUCUGCUUACAGGCUGAUGGAGGAGCCCGUGGGGCUGCCUUGGCUGGUUUUCUCCUCACUGUGCUCAGCUGGCAAACACCUUCACAGGGACUGUGUGGAUGCCUCGCAGCCACAGGCAGAGCCACUGUCUUUAGACAAUGGAGCUGUUUCAGGCGAGCCCAGGAUCAAUCAACGGGGCCGGACUCUGUGCCCCCGGGAAAGCAGUGAAUCUGGGCCACAGAGCAAAGCAUGCGAGGCUGGUUCCCUGCGGGAGGAAAAGAUGGGGUUUUGUUUGGGGUCCGAGAGGAAAUAUUGUCAGCUGUGGGACUCAGACAUACCUGUGCUCAACUUGUGACAGUGACAUCAAGGUUGAAAAAGCCUCCGUAAUGAUUUCAUUCUAAAUGAAAUCUUCCUUGCUGCCACCGGCCCCCAAAGGGCCAAAUGUUAUUUGUAAAGGUCAAAGUGAAAAGGUUACGUGGCUUUCAGCAAAUGACUUUCACCAAAUAAUUAAUUAGUUAUUAAUUAAUUACUCUGCUGACUCAUUCCAAGAAAGGAUUUGAGGCAGUUUAUAAAAAUAUGUGACAGAGGAAACUAAUUUGGGGAAUAUGAGCCAGGGUAAAAUCAACAUCUAUCAUGGCAUACCCUCAAAUGCUUACUCUGCUUACGGAUGUUCAAAAGUCACAUAAAUGACAAGAGAUAGCGUUUGUUUUCUGCACAGAAAAAAAAAAAAAAAAAAAAAA
rnacentral:lncRNA from 1 species